UGUAUUUUUUCUUGUUUUAGUGUAUACUAUCUGAGUAAAAACCAAUAUAAUGAAUCAAAACUUUCAACAACGGAUCUCUUGGUUCUGGCAUCGAUGAAGAACGCAGCGAAAUGCGA
rnacentral:rRNA from 1 species